GGGAAGCUGGGUGAAGAAACACCUAUUAAGCAUCUUACAUAUCAGGAAGAGAGCAGAUCUACACCCCCCACCCGCCAGGAGUCAGAGGACGGAGCACUGAGAAAACACCCAGACUGCCUUGCCUCCCCUCCCUUCCAGGCUGGCAGAGAGGACCUCAAGCAAUCCCUUCAAAGGCAAAGCAAGUUACAAAAUGGAGGUAAUGCAGCAGCAUCUUAAAGCCAUGGCUUCCUCACACUGUACCACAGAGAGAACUCAGCGCCUAACCCCCAAUGCUGGUGAUCAACCCCACUGGUUCAACAUUCUCAAGAUCUUCUGACAUAAAAUUAUACUGAUCACAAGAA